AAGAUCACAUUUCAAAGACUUGGCUCCAGGGUCCCGGAGGAGGAGACAUUUCUGGCUCAUUGAUCCCUUUAAGAGCGUCACAGACAUUUGAAAAGGACAGAGAAAGGAACCCUGAAAGGAAAGGCGCCGGGAGGGGAGAAGACUCUCCCUGUUCCAUUGUUUUCCACGGGGAGAAGGAGGCCUCUGAUUUUCAGGGCGCCCUUGUGUUCAGGAAAGUGGCCUGUGGGAGUUUCAGGAUCUCAGUUCCAGCCCGCAGGCCGAGUGCUUUUCUGUGAAGCUUUCUCUGCAGUGUGGACGCUGGACGGGAAUCCAGACCCCAAAAGAGGGUUUUUGGAUCUUUCACAAGAAAGAAUUCGGGGUGAUUCAUGGACAAAACUUUCCGGAAAUACCUUCUCAAAUCAUAUCACGGUCGGGACCUCCAUCUUCAAGCCGCGUUUUAUCUCCAGGCCGGGAGCGGAAAUGAUCACGUUUAAUCAGACACACCUGAGGCUUGGCUUCCGUGGCGCCAUCUCGGCUCACUGCAUCCUCCACCUCCCGGGUUCAAGCUGUCCUCCUCCCUCAGCCUCCGCAGUGGCCGGGAUUACAGGCCCGGCCAGUUCUGUAUAUUGAGUAGAGACGGGGUUUGUCCGUGUUGCCCGGGCUGGUGUCGAACUCGCGACCUCAGGACACACACACAUUGAUUGCGUCACUGUUCACAAUAGCAAAGACUUGGAACCAACGCAAAGGCCCGUCAGUGAUAGGCUGGAUGAAGAAAAUGUCUCCCAUAGACACCACGGAAUACUACGAGGCCAUGAAAAAGGAAGAGUUGGUUUCCUUUGGAGGGACAUGGAUGAAGCUGGAAAGUGUCAUUUUCAGUAAACGGACACAAGAACAGAAAAUCAAACACCGUAUGUUGUCACCCUUGCCGUGAGCCGUUGUCAGGGCCCUGAACUUUGGAGGCCACGAAACUGGGUUUCAAUCCAAACACAACACCACGAUUUACUACCUCGGUUUCUCCGGAGAACUUAAUUCAUUCCUUCGACUGUGACUUUCUCAGUCUGUGGCAAACCACCUAGACUUUUUAACGACACGUAAACCAGCUAAUAUAUGCACAUUGAGUAACGUGGAAUUUUAAUGCACGUAAAGCGGUCCGUGAAUAGCAGCCAUUCUUGUUGAUUUGUAAGAGCUCUUUAUAUGUUAAGGACACAGGCUCUUUGAUCCUUGCCAAAUUUCGUGACUAUUCCUGAGCUUCUUUUAUGCUGCUUGAAAUGGUUUAUGUUUUUUUUAAACAUAAAGAGGUUUAAAAUUGAA